rnacentral:rRNA from 1 species
UACGUAGGGGGCGAGCGUUGUCCGGAUUUAUUGGGUUUAAAGGGUGCGUAGGCUGUUAUAUAAGUCAGCGGUGAAAUAUUCGGGCUUAACCGGGAUACUGCCGUUGAUACUGUGUAGCUGGAAUAUGGUUGCUGUGGGUGGAAUGUGUGGUGUAGCGGUGAAAUGCAUAGAUAUCACACAGAAUAUCGAUUGCGAAGGCAACUCACAAAGCCAUUAUUGACGCUGAUGCACGAAAGUGUGGGGAU